AGUGAACGCUGGCGGUAGGCCUAACACAUGCAAGUCGAACGGCAGCACAGUAAGAGCUUGCUCUUACGGGUGGCGAGUGGCGGACGGGUGAGGAAUACAUCGGAAUCUACUUUUUCGUGGGGGAUAACGUAGGGAAACUUACGCUAAUACCGCAAACGACCUACGGGUGAAAGCAGGGGAGCUUCGGACCUUUCGCGAUUGAAUGAGCCGAUGUCGGUUUAGCUAGUUGGCGGGGUAAAGGCCCACCAAGGCGACGAUCCGUAGCUGGUCUGAGAGGAUGAUCAGCCACACUGGAACUGAGACACGGUCCAGACUCCUACGGGAGGCAGCAGUGGGGAAUAUUGGACAAUGGGCGCAAGCCUGAUCCAGCCAUACCGCGUGGGUGAAGAAGGCCUUCGGGUUGUAAAGCCCUUUUGUUGGGAAAGAAAAUCAGCAGAUUAAUACCCCGCUGUUCUGACGGUACCCAAAGAGUAAGCACCGGCUAACUUCGUG
rnacentral:rRNA from 1 species